AGGAUGAACGCUGGCGGUGUGCCUAAUACAUGCAAGUCGAACGGGAUCUUCGGAUCUAGUGGCGAACGGGUGAGUAACACGUUGGUACCUACCCCGAAGUGGGGAAUAACUGCCCGAAAGGGUGGCUAAUACCGCAUAAUACCGCAAGGUUAAAGCAGUAAUGCGCUUCGGGAGGGGCCUGCGUCCCAUUAGCUAGUUGGUAGGGUAAUGGCCUACCAAGGCGACGAUGGGUAGCUGGAUCGAGAGGUUGACCAGCCACACUGGGACUGAGAUACGGCCCAGACUCCUACGGGAGGCAGCAGUAAGGAAUCUUCCACAAUGGACGAAAGUCUGAUGGAGCAACACCGCGUGCAGGAUGACGGCCUUCGGGUUGUAAACUGCUUUUAUAUGGGAAGAUUAUGACGGUACCAUAUGAAUAAGGACCGGCUAACUACGUGCCAGCAGCCGC
rnacentral:rRNA from 1 species